AGCAAAGACUUGGAACCAACCCAAAUGUCCAACAAUGAUAAACUGGAUUAAGAAUAUGUGGCACAUAUGCACCAUGGAAUACUAUGCAGCCAUAAGAAAUGAUGAGUUCCUGUCCUUUGUAGGGACAUGGAUGAAACUGGAAAUCAUCAUCCUCAGUAAACUAUCACAAGUACAAAGAACCAAACACCCCAUGUUCUCACUCAUAGGUGGGAAUUGAACAUUGAGAACACAUGGACACAGGAAGGGAAACAUCACACUCUGGGGACUGUUGUGGGGUGGGGGGAGGGGGGAGUAAUAGCAUUAGGAGAUAUACCUAAUGCUAUAUGACAAGUUAAUGGGUGAAGCACACCAGCAUGGCACAUGUAUACAUAUGUAACCUGCACAUUGUGCACAUGUACCCUAAAACUUAAAGUAUAAUAAUAAUAAAAUUAAAAAUAAAAAAAAAUGUGGCACAUAUACAUCAUGGAAUACUAUGCAGCCAUAAAAAAUGAUGAGCUCAUGUCCUUUGUAGGGACAUGGAUGAAGCUGGAAACCAUCAUUCUCAGCAAGCUAUCACAAGGACAAAAAACCAAACAUCACAUGUUCUCACUCAUAGGUGGGAAUUGACCAAUGAGAACACAUGGACACAGGAAGGGGGACAUCACACUGGGGGACUGUUGUGUGGUGGAGGGAGUGGGGAGGGAUAGCAUUAGGAGAUAUACCUAAUGCUAAAUGACAAGUUAAUGGGUGCAGCACACCAACAUGGCACAUGUAUACAUAUGUAACAAACGUGCAGGUUGUGCACAUGUACCCUAAAACUUAAAGUAUAAUAACAAUAAAAUAAAAUAAAAUAAAAAGAAAAGAAAAUGUGGCACAUAUACACCAUGGAAUACUAUGCAGCCAUAAAAAAGGAUGAGUUCAUGUCCUUUGUAGGGACAUGGAUGAAGCUGGAAACCAUCAUUCUCAGCAAACUAUCACAAGGACAGAAAACCAAACACCGCAUCUUCUCACUCAUAGGUGGGAAUUGAAAAAUGAGAACACUUGGACACAGGAAGAGGAACAUCAUACACCAGGGCCUGUUGUGGGGUGGGGGAGUGGGGAGGGAUAGCAUUAGGAGAGAUACCUAAUGUAAAUGACGAGUUAAUGGGUGCAGCACACCAUUAUGGCACAUGUAUACAUAUGUAACAAACCUUCAGGUUGUGCACAUGUACCCUAGAACUUAAAGUAUGAUUAAAAAAAAAAAAAGAAAAAGAAAAAGGUUGAGGUUUGAGGUUAGGCUCAGUUUUAUAGAAAAUGACCUCUUUCUUUCUCUCUGUCUCUCUCUCUCUCAUUAACUAAAGUCCGUGGUUUACUUAGAUUUCCUUGGGUUUUACCUAAUGUCCUUUUCCUGUUCCAGGACCCAUUGGAUAUCACAUGACAUUUAGUCAUCAUGUCUCUUUGGACUCCUCUUUGCUGUGACAGUUUCUCAGGAUACCCUUGUUUUUGAUGACCUUGACAAUUUUCAGGAGUGCUGGUCAGAUAUUUUGUAGGAUGCCCACUAUUGGAAUGUGCCUGAUGUUUUUCUUAUGGUGUUUGAUUGGAAGACCAAAUACAGCUCUAAACGUCAACUGAAGAAAGGUGUUGGUGCAACAACGGUGGAUGCUGUGGGAGCCUGAGCUACCUGCCCAUACAGCUUGAUUAUGCCUAUUGAUCCCAUCUGCAGCACUUUCAUCUUAUAAAGGAUCAUUGCUGUACUCACACAGCCUUAUGACUUGUGUGCAUCUCCCAAGACCCAGCUCUUUAGUCAGUGGGCUCUGGAUAUGAAAACUGGCUCAGGUCUGGAAAUUGGAUAUGAGAUUGUAACUUUUUACUAGGGCAAGCAUCUAUUAUUUCUCCUCACACAGACCAACAUCCUUGUUGAUUGCCCAUCUAGAGACACUGUAAACUGUUAAGCAUCUCCAUAAUUCUCUGAAAGUCAGACCUCCUUGGCUUACAGUCCACCUUGCCAGUUGUUAUGGUAAUUGUAAACCUCUUUUUCUGGCAGUUAAAUGUUGCCACCUGCUCUUUAUUGUGUUAGAAUUUUGUCAUCCCCACUUGUAUCAGCGUGCUAAGUUCUGUAACAUCUUCUACUGUCAGCCUGGCCUGUAGAGGACAACUGCCACUGAAAGUUUUAGUGAUAUUAGUGUCCCCUCACCAGCAUACUUUCACGGCCUUGGUAAAUGGUGUGCCCUCUGGGUCUUGUGGAACAUAACUGUCUUGUGGGUCUUCUGGCCACAUGGUAUCCACUCUAGCAUAUCCAAAACCUGAAGCCUUUUAAUUUCUUCCUCUACUAUCUCCUAUACGAUUCUGGCAUUUCAACUUUGUUUAGUGUAAGCUAUGAUUUUUUUCUGUGCUUCUAGAACCCAUCCUGAUCAUGAUUUUGCAUCAUUUCUUGAGCUCCUUGCCAAAAUGUGAAAUUCUGUAACUUGGUAGAAUGUUUCCUUCUCUGAUCUUAUGUUCUAGUCUCCUUGAUUAAGCACCCUCAGGACCCAAUCUCACACAUAUACGCAUGGCUCCUGCCAGAACAUGCUGGCUAGAUCUUUAUCUCCUCUGGGGUAUACUCCCUUUACUCUCUUGUUACGCCCAGCAUCGCCCUCACUGAAAUAUGCUGGAAAUGUACCCUAGUUAUAGGUGUAGUGGACAGGAGGGGAGAAGGGAGCAGAUCCUGUGAGGAGCACCUGUUCUUUUCUGAGAGUUUUCAUUUUUUUUCCAGCAUGUCAUUGUGUUGGUUUUUAACAUGGAGGUAUGGAACACUUAUGAAGGUUCAGAGGAUUUAAGGAGUCUGGAAAAUCAAAAAUCAAAAUAUUUGGGAGCAUCCACUCAUUGUUCUUACCUUCCAUGUAGGAGUCUCUGGUUUUCCCCAUGAGUUCUAACCUUUGCUUAACAAUCUGCCUUUGGUGGAGGUUAAUCAUUUUGAAGUUCAGCCACUAUAAAUUCUAGUCUCUAUCCUUAGCUUUCUUCAAUCUCUUUUUCAGAAAAUAACAGUGUCUUAUUUAUAAAACCAAAGCUUGCCUCUGGAGUUUAUAUCUGGCUUUUAGUUGUAUGCUGCUUACCCUCAUUUAUUUGUUAUAAAUAAGAAAUAAGUUCCACUUAUCAAAACCAUCGAGUUCAAUUAUCUUUAUUAGAGCUACUAUUUAUCCUGUAUGUCACUGUUUAGAAAAAACACAAACCCUGUUUUUUCUCUGCUCUAACACCAACACAACAAUCAAUGCAGAAGACUUCUGUGACCAAAUGGGUGGGGGUUUUUCCCCACUGACUGGGGAUACCAGUUGGGUAUCCUCCAAUUCAAUUCUGACACUGUCUACCUGGAGAUAGCAUCAGAUUCCACAGGUUGAGACCUCAGUCCCCUAUUGCCCUGCCACUUCAGAUACAAGUUGCAAGUCUGAACCUCUGGAACUUCUGACCAACCAGCUUUAAGUUGGGCUUUCCACCACUCACUCUUUGGGUUCAAUUAAUUUGCUGGAGUGGCUCACAAAACUUAGGGGAACACUUGUGUUUACUGGUUUAUUAUAAAGGAUAUUGCAAAGAAUAGAUGAAGAGAUGCAUAGAGUGAGGUAUGGGGGAAGGGACCAGAGCUUCUAUGCUCUCCCUGCUUACAACACUCUCCAGGAACAUCCAUGUGUUCAGGUAUCCAGAAGCUCCCAAAUCCUGUCCUUUGUGCCUUCUAUGGAGACUUCAUUGCUUUUCCAUGAUUGAACCAUGUACAGCCAUUAGAAAUGUAACUGGACAAAAAGGAUAUGACCUAAUCCCAGCAAGGCCUUUUUGGCCUCUUUGUGCAGCUUUCUUUCCUCUAGAGUGUGAGGGUCUUAUGAUCCACAAUUAGAUUAGGGUCCUGAGAUUCUGUUUCCUGAGGCCUGCUUCUUAGGCCUAAAGCACUCCAAUAUUAUAACAAAACACUGUAACAAGGACUAUGGGAGAUAUGAGCCAGGAACCAUAGACAAAAAUGUGUGUGUGUGUGUGUGUGUGUGUGUCUGUCUGUCUGUCACAAACACAUAAAAUAUAAUAAUACCAGCUACUAUUCCCUUCCACUGAUACAAUUCACUAGAAAUGCACUACCAACUUACCAACAGUGAUAUGGUUCUUAUUUUUGGCUGGGCUAUAACAAUCCAGCUCCAAACCCCCAUCUUAUUAUCUGAUUUGUGGUACCACUCCUGUUAUCAACUGACAUACGGUGGAUUGUAUAAAAUGAAGUUGGAGUGUAAGAUGUUAAUGAAGUGAUCAGCACCUGGCAAAGGAGAGGGGAGGGAGCAGGACUGAACACAGGAAGAAGUUAAACUAUAAUGCAGGCCUGACAAACCCUCAGCCAACCUAGUGGUCACCUCUGGAGUGAGAAUGACUCAGAGGUAUUGGGUCACACUGGAUGGACCUGUACUGAGCUCACUCAUCAGAUGGGGGCUGCCCUAGAAAGGCAAGACCUUGGGAAAGUGGCUCUCUGCAGCUGACAUGAGGCCAACCCUAAAGAAGCUGCCAGUUGUAGGUUGUCUGCAAACCAUAUUCCCCUCAGCUAGGUAGCAAGUCCCUCUCUGAUGUGAGAUCUUGGUUUCAUAGCUCCAUGUCUUGCACAUUUCUUGAGUCAUUUUCUAGAACAGUGGUAAAGAUGAGUGGUAUAGUAUGGAUGUUUGUCCCCCAAACCACGUGUUAAAAUUUCAUUUCCAGUGUUGGAGGCGGGCCUAAUGAGAGGUGUUUGGGUCACAAGUGAGAUCCCUUAUGAACAGAUCAAUGCCUUCCCUGGGAAGGGAGGUAACUGAGUUCUCCCUGUAUGAGCUCCCAGGAAAGCUGAUUGCUAAAAGGGGCCUGAUGCCUCACUCCCCACUCUCUCACUUUCUUUGUCUCACCAUGUGACCUCUACACUCCAGUGCCCCUUCGCACCUUCCACCAUGAGCAGAAACAGCCUGAAGCCCUCACCAGAAGCAGACGCUGCACCAUGCUUCUUGUACCUGCACAACCAUGAGCCAAAUAAACCACCUUCUUUUCUUUAAAAAUUAUUCGACUUCAGGUAUUCCUUUAUAGUAACACAAAAAUGGACUAAGAAAAUGAACCAUGCUUACUACAAUUCCUCAGCAUCCAUGCUAAUCCACAACCCCUUCCCUCCCCCAGCUCCUUCAUUCCAAUGUGAAGUCUCUAGAAACUAGGUAUUUCACUGCAUCUGGCAAAGCAAUGCACAGUUUUAAGGUACAGGGCACUAUAGUACAAGCUACAAGAGAGAAAACCAGUUUCUGCCUGGUUUAUACUGGUCAAGAUAGUAUAAGAAAAGGUUGAAUCAAAACUGCCCUAACCCUAUUAAUAAUAUACUAGUAAUAUAAACAACAUAUUAAUAACAUGAAACUUGUCUAUUAAUUUACUUAAGGACCCAUUUCAAUAUCACUGGGAGUGGUUUCUUACUGUUAUGAACUUCUCUAAUAUUCACUCUUUUACCUUAUAGCACUCUUGGCUACCUCAAACUUUAAUUAUUUGCACAUAUUUUCUCUAUACUACUAAUAUACACUAUCUUCAUAUUAGUCUCUUUCUUGAGCCCAUCACCCAGUUUAUUAGGCCCUGGAGAAAUAUUUUUCAAUGUCUCCAUUGCAUAAUAUAGCAGUCUUCAACAUUCUCCUGAAGGAUAUGAAAAAUGAUGUUCACAGGAAAAACAUGCACUCAUAGAUAUGCUCAUAUUUUAGAAAAAAUAUUUUUUCAGACAAGUAAAGAACUGAGAUAAGCUAUUGGGGAACAUCAGUAACAAUGGCUGUAUGUGGGCUGCAACAUAAAGAAGACAAGUGCCAUUUAUAAGCAAUUCCCAAUAUUUUGAGUGGCACUUUCUGAGGUCCAGAAUCACAUAACCAAUUUUCUACUGAUAUCUCCACCCAUCAGUAACAAAAGCUUACCUUCAACCCCAAAGCUGCUUCCCGUGUCUUCUACUUCAGCAAAUGGCACUGUCGUGCAUACAACUUCUCAACCAAACACUUGGGAUUCAUCUUGGACCACUCCCCAUCUCAUACACCAUUCAUUUCUACUUAACCCCCAAGUCCUAAUGAUUUUUUCACUUAAUAUCUCUUGAACAUAUCCACUUCUUUUUAUCCCUUAAUCUCUUCCAUUUCUCA
rnacentral:lncRNA from 1 species